rnacentral:lncRNA from 1 species
UUCUUGUAUUAUUUAUUAAAUAUCAAUGUGGUAAACAAUAAUCCCAUUUGUUAGGUCACAAGUAACCUAAAAGUAAUCAAAAAUUAGUCAGAUUUAUAUUUUACCUAAUAUGUGUAAUCCAAUAGAUUGUGUUACUAACUUUUGUCAUGUGAUCUGUAAUCAGUAAUAGACUACAAUUUGUAAGUUAUCUACACAGCACUGUGAAAAUGUGCAUGAAUGUGACCACGGAUUAAAGGAUUGAUCAUGUUUUUAAGAUUAAUAUAAAUAUUUUUUGAGAAUACUGAGUUCAGUGGGAUCAGAAGGGAAUGACACAUUUAUUCUGUAGAAUUCAAAUUUUGUCACUGUUUUACUGAUUUCAAUAUAUGCCACAAUGUUCAUUACAGUGUCAGGUUUUUUUUUUUUUUUUUUUUUUUUUUAUUUUUUUUUUCAGAAGAAAGAAAGUGUGAAGAUGAAGUGAUUAUGAUUCUGCAGGGGGUGUGUGUGUGUGUGUGUGUGUGUGUGUGUGUGUGUGUGUGUGUGUGUGUGUGUGUUUUUCAGGUCUGGAUCAGAUCUGCAGGUUUAAUAAAUCAGAUUCCUGCAUUGCAGCUGCGGGACACAAACUCAAUCUGCAGAUGGUGCAGGACGCUCGAGAUCUAGAGCUGUAUUUGUAUAAGGAUGAGAGUGGUACAGGACUGAGUAUUUUAAGUGUAAAGAACAAUAAAGAGAAAAAACAUGAAUCCAUCAGAAACAGAUCUGAGUUCAUCAUUCAUAAUGGGAUUCUGAUAAUAAAAAAUGUGAUCAGAGCAGAUUCAGGGAAUUACAGAUUAGAACUCUAUGACUCACAAGGCACAAGAACAUUUGUAGAAGAACUUGAAGUGAUUGUUAAAGGUCCUUCAGUCGUUCUGAUCGUUCUGGGAUGUUUCGCUGUAAUUCUUAUUAUUCUGGUUGCCAUCUCAUAUUACAUUUACAAGAAGAAGAAUCGGCUCAAAACGACAGCAAAUGUGGAAAACACCUCGACGGACGCUCAGACAAACAGGAAUGAGAAGGAGCAAGAGCUUCAUUAUGGAGAGAUUACGUUCAGCAGCUCAAACGUUAAACAGCAGCCGAGUAAAACACAAGAGGAAUGUGUGUACGCUCAGGUGCAGAUGAACUAGUGUCAAGACCACCACAGAAACUCAUACAGUCAGUGGACUAGUGUGUGUUCAUACUUUACUGUCGUGAAAACACAACAGGCCAGUGUUUGGCCGCUUAUGAAGAAACACUGGUUUUAUUGCACAUUUCUUUCCUGUGUGGUAACAGAAAAACACAGUGUCUGAUGCAGAACAGAAAUAUAAAAGGACGGACACUGGCCGACUGAAGGGAAUCAUUACUUCUGUGAACAACUUGUGCUGAAUAAAUAGAUAAUGUGUGCUUUAUUUAAUGUCUUUCUGUGACAUACUACGCAAUUAAAAUACACUUUUGUUUUCUGUACCCUUGUGCUGCCUUUUCCUCUACUUUGUCGCCACCCAGUGAACAACAAAACAAAUAGGAAACUUUUUACAGACUGAUGACGUGUUUCCAGUUAUUAACAUUGUAAAUCAAGUAAAUAAAAAACUAAUAUAGUUAUAUAUUUUAUAAUUUUGUAUUAUAUGUUUUAUAGACCUCUACUGCUCAAUAUUAUUUACCUAAAACCGUUGAGAUGGUGUGGACAUGUUUGCAUUCAUUUCAUAAGGUGGGCUUGAAAAACUCGCCUUUUACAGCAGAUUUAGUUUACAAACAACUGACAGUCUGGACCUAAAUAUGGUUUUCAUUUACAAUAAUAAAUCCUAAAAUUCGGCAUUAGUAACAUGCCAUCAGUUGCUCGAGCUCAAGCUCUGAGGAUCUCGUGUUCUUGACUCAUUUUGAAUCAGACUUGCCAUCAGUGAAUUUACUGAAUUGUUUACUGGAGACUCGCUCUGCGUCUCAGUGUGUAUACUUAUACUACGCUCUUAAAGUAUGUACUCUUUUGGUGAAGAAAAAGUACACACUUCUGAGUGUGUAGUAGAAGAGUAGGCAAGCUUUGGGACAUACUAUCACGUCACACAGUUGCGUCUUUAAAGGAGCUCUCUGUCGCACCUGUCACUGUAAACUGGUCUGUCAAUCAUCUCGUCACACUUAAAAUCCUCCACAUUUCAUUUCAUUUAACUUCCUACUGUACUGGAGAGAAAAGAAGUAGCUCGUUGAUCUGCCAGUCGCCGGUCUUUCAUGCAGAGAACUCUGCUCAUAUUUUCUGCAUAAUGAUGCAUUUAAAAGUUAACGACCAAAUGGAUUUUUACAAAAGUUCACAUUGCUGUUGCAGAUUAAAUGUAACACGGAUAACGAUAAAUACAUAUUUUUUUAACCAGGUUAAAUGUUGAUUAUUAGUAACUCAAACCCCAUUCUGUAAACCUCUCUACCUAACCAUCGAUCGCAUGCAUCCGCCACGUUUGUAGUUUUUCUAACGCGUUUUAUUCGUGUUUGUAGUUCUGGACCGUAUCCUUCGCCAAAGCGCAAUGGAUUGUGGGCUAUUUUAACUAUUAGAGUGUGCACAGAUCCACACUUUAAAAAUCGAUCUGAAAUAGUAGACCAUCCAGGGACUUCUGGCAUACUCUUUUCAACACACUAUACUUUGGGACAUACUUUUUCUAAUCUCACAUACUAUUUAGGAUGAAGAGUAUGAACAUUGAGACGCAGGGUUUCUCUGACUGGAUCAAUUCAAUCAGUGGGUGCUUCUCAAUAUCCCUCCUCGUUUCCUCACUCCUCCGUCCUCCUUCCUAUGACCCGGAAACCGAUCGAGCUCAGGACAUCUCAAUUCUCUAAUUGCAUCACGAGGAGGCGAGGAUCGAGGAGUGAGGAGGCUUCCUGAGGAGUCAUGAGCGAGGAUACUCCGUCCGUCCUCAUGUAUUUUCCUUGCAUCCUUCCCUCACAUCCUGAAGGGGUGGAGCUAAGACGCAAGGUAAGGAAGCAAGGAGAUGAAACGAGGAUGCACAAAUAAGAAUUGAGAAGCACCCAGUGAGUUGUUUACUAGAGACUCUGACCAGAUCAUUUGAAUCAUGCCCAUUUUCAGACAUUUUGACUGGUGCAGGAGUCUGAAUUUCCCCCAUAGCUGAUAUAGCACUUUAGAAAUCUCCUUCUGCAAAAAAUAACAGCUAGAAAUACAAAUAGCACUCACUGAUUGAUUAAACAUAUUACUU